UACGAAGGGGGCUAGCGUUGCUCGGAAUUACUGGGCGUAAAGCGCACGUAGGCGGCUUUCUAAGUCGGAGGUGAAAUCCUGGAGCUCAACUCCAGAACUGCCUUCGAUACUGGAGAGCUUGAGUCCGGGAGAGGUGAGUGGAACUGCGAGUGUAGAGGUGAAAUUCGUAGAUAUUCGCAAGAACACCAGUGGCGAAGGCGGCUCACUGGCCCGGUACUGACGCUGAGGUGCGAAAGCGUGGGGAGCAGACAGG
rnacentral:rRNA from 1 species